rnacentral:rRNA from 1 species
AUGGCCGCGGCUGCGGGGAGCGGCGGCGUGGUGAAGCACCUCGUCCUCGCGCGGUUCAAGGAGGAGGCGACGCCGGAGGCGCUGGACCAGCUCAUCCGCCGCUACGCCGGCCUCGUCGACGCCGUCCCCUCCAUGAAGGCAUUCCACUGGGGAACCGAUGUGACCGUGCUAGACACGCACGAAGGGUUCACGCACGUCUUCGAGUCCACUUUUGAAAGCGCAGAGGGAGUCAAGGAGUACAUUGCACACCCAUCACAUGUAGAGUUUGUAGAUGAAUUCUUGGCUUUGGCGGAGAAAAUGCUCAUAGUGGAUUACAAGCCGGCAGCUACCAAUUAG